rnacentral:rRNA from 1 species
ACUCCUACGGGAGGCAGCAGUGGGGAAUCUUGCGCAAUGGGCGAAAGCCUGACGCAGCCAUGCCGCUGAAUGGAUGAAGGUCUUAGGAUUGUAAAAUUCUUUCACCGGGGACGAUAAUGACGGUACCCGGAGAAGAAGCCCCGGCUAACUUCCGUGCCAGCAGCCGCGGUAAUACGAAGGGGCUAGCGUUGCUCGGAAUUACUGGGCGUAAAGGG